rnacentral:rRNA from 1 species
CCAGCUUACCUUGUGAAAGAAACAAAGUGAACACAACAGCCACCACUAAUACGAUAGGUCGAGGUGUAACUAAUGAAUGGGAAAAAGAUGGGCUACAUUUUCUAACACAGAAAACACGAAUAGACUAUGAAAAUAGGAACCGAAGGCGGAUUUAGCAGUAUGUUAAGAACAAAAUGCCUAACCGAAACUAAUGCAAUGAAGUGCGUACACACCGCCCGUCAUCCCUGUAAAACUUAAUCAAAACUACAUAAACACACUAACCCACCAAACAGGGCAAGUCGUAACA